rnacentral:rRNA from 1 species
CACGUAGGGGACGAGCGUUGUCCGGAUUCAUUGGGCGUAAAGCGCGCGUAGGCGGCUCGGAAAGUCGGGCGUGAAAUGCCGGGGGCUCAACCCCCGGGACUGCCUCAGAUACGUGACGGCCUCGAGGGGAGAUAGGGGGCAUGCGGAACUGUAGGUGGAGCGGUGAAAUGCGUUGAUAUCUACAGGAACUCCGGUGGCGAAGGCGGCGUGCUGGAUCUCUUCUGACGCUGGAGGCGCGGAAAGCUAGGGGAGCAAACGGG